UGUUCUGGUGGACUUAUUUUCUACACAGAACAUGGGAACUUAAGUUCCCAUCUGCUUUAUUUAAGGGUACUUAUGAGGAAAAAAGAAUCAGUUGAUUUUUUCUUUAAUGGGCAUGGACAGCCGCUGCCUAUGGAGCUCAGCUCAACUGUUUGGACAAAAACCGAAAGACAGCAGCCGGUGUCUCAGUGAAGGAGGCUCUUUGAUAAGGAUGGCCACUCCCAUUCUUCCCCUUGAUGUCAAAUUCCGCACCGUCCAAGGUCUGCAGAGUUCUUUGCAACAGGUUCAGCUGCGCAAAAGCUGGUAUUUCUUUCCCUGUCUCAGAGAAGAGGCUAAAGUCCAAUGGAGUCGCCUAACAAAGGCAGAUGAAGAGAGACAAAGGCAGUUCUUCCUUCUUCCUGUGGCACACAUGUGGAAUCAGCACCACAAAAUGAACUGAAGGCCUUUCGCUUCAAAUAGUUGAGGAUUAAACCAAUUCACAGAAGACUUUCCACUCUUGAAUUGGUGA